rnacentral:rRNA from 1 species
UACGUAGGGUGCGAGCGUUAAUCGGAAUUACUGGGCGUAAAGCGUGCGCAGGCGGUUUUGUAAGCCAGAUGUGAAAGCCCCGGGCUUAACCGUGGGAAUGGCAUUUGGGACUGCAAGGCUUGAGUGCGGCAGAGGGAGACUGGAAUUCCUGGUGUAGCGGUGAAAUGCGCGAUAUCAGGAGGAACACCGAUGGCGAAGGC